CACAUUGUUUGGGAGUAUGGACCCCAUAAAGGAUCAAGUCUAGACAUGAGCAACAAUUUGGAUGUUGCCAUGUUCUGAACUUUAACGUAAAUACAUAGAGGGUAAUAGGGGUACAUGGAUUCACAGCAGAAACAAGUGCAAAGCGAACAACAUACACAUUUAACACUAAGCAUAGAUAACGAAGUACACAAGAAUGUGGAAGCUGUAAAAUAAACACAUUGG
rnacentral:lncRNA from 1 species